UACGGGGGGGGCAAGCGUUGUUCGGAAUUACUGGGCGUAAAGAGCUCGUAGGCGGCUCGGUAAGUCAGGUGUGAAAACUCUAGGCUCAACCUAGAGACGCCACCUGAUACUGCCGUGGCUAGAGUCCGGUAGGGGAGCAUGGAAUUCCUGGUGUAGCGGUGAAAUGCGCAGAUAUCAGGAGGAACACCAGUGGCGAAGGCGGUGCUCUGGGCCGGAACUGACGCUGAGGAGCGAAAGCGUGGGGAGCAAACAGG
rnacentral:rRNA from 1 species